CGAACGCUGGCGGCAGGCCUAAUACAUGCAAGUCGAACGGCUCUUCGGAGCAGUGGCGGACGGGUGAGUAACGCGUGGGAAUGUGCCCUUUGGUACGGAACAACACAGGGAAACUUGUGCUAAUACCGUAUGUGCCCUUCGGGGGAAAGAUUUAUCGCCAUUGGAGCAGCCCGCGUUGGAUUAGGUAGUUGGUGAGGUAAAGGCUCACCAAGCCUACGAUCCAUAGCUGGUCUGAGAGGAGGACCAGCCACACUGGGACUGAGACACGGCCCAGACUCCUACGGGAGGCAGCAGUAGGGAAUCUUGCUCAAUGGGCGAAAGACUGGCGCAGCCAUGCCGCGUGUAUGAUGAAGGUCUUAGGAUUGUAAAAUACUUUCACCGGGGAAGAUAAUGACGGUACCCGGAGAAGAAGCCCCGGCUAACUUCGUGCCAGCAGCCGCGGUAACAC
rnacentral:rRNA from 1 species